GAAAAAGCCAAACGCUCUCACGCAUUCCUUCCUUCAUUUUCAUUCCCCAGUUUCCUCUCCAUUUGAAAUUGGAAACCCAAGGAAUCACCCCUUCAUCUCCUCUGGCGCCGCCAUCAUUCUCAACCUUCGCCCAGCAAUUUUAAAUGUGCUCGGAUCUCCAAACGCCGAUCUCACAGUGAAAUCUUCGCCCAAAUGGGCAAAAUCGAUUCUUCCACACUUAACAAAAUUGGUAGAUAUUCUUUGCCUUCACAGCAAUAGGUCCUUUCUUCGUUUUCGCUCUCACAACAACACCAAACUGAUUGUGCCCACGAACCCAAGAACUGAAGUCUUUCGAUUUGCAUGCAUGGAGGGAGAAGGUGGAGGUAAAAAAUUUCUUUGACAUUGUUUAGCUGUACUGUAAUACGAGAGAAUUUUGCAGUUGAAACUGUUUAGCUAAUUUGAACUUUGCUAUGUGGUAUACCUAAGUUGAA
rnacentral:lncRNA from 1 species